GGAUGUGAGGGUGAUCUGGCUGUGACAUCUGCACCCCAUUGAUUGCCAGGGUUGAUUCAGCUGAUCUGGCUGGCUAGGUAGGUGUCCCCUUCCUCCCUCACUGCUCCAUGUGCGUCCUUCCCAAAGCCACGUGCUCUGUUGAAGAGGACGACCUUCCCUGAUAGAGGAGAGGACCAUUCUGCAGUCAAGGGUAUAUGAGUAGGUGUGCUCCCCUGCUAGGACCUCCAAACAAGCUCUGGAGGUCCAUAAAUAAACAUUUAUGAUCUUUAAGUUAUAAUUAGAUUUUAAAGAAAUCUGGCCCAGCAUUUCUCAAA
rnacentral:snRNA from 1 species